GCAACGUCAAUAAAAGGGUGUUAUUUUUAAACCAUGUGACUUUAACGUAAAUGUGAAGUAGUGAUUUGGGUUUACUUCUGAACAAUAGGUUUAAUGUCACUGGGUUUUAACACUUAGUUUUACACCUCAGAUGUGUUUAUAGUGAGACCGAGGAGCGACACACUGGGACUAAAACUAACAGGCCGCUCGCGCGCACGCUCUCUCUCUCACCUGCCGCGCGCGCUGCACCGCGUCCGCGAACGCGUCCUUCUUCACCCCGCCGGGUCCCAGUGCUGCUGCUGCUGCUGCUGCUGCUCCGGGAGGCGGCGGCACCGCGCUGUACUCCGACAUCACUGUCCCGUCGUUUCUGU